rnacentral:rRNA from 1 species
CGCAUGCGGCAGCUACACAUGCAGUCGAGCGAGAACUUCGGUUCUAGCGGCGGACGGGUUAGUAACGCGUGGGAACGUGCCCUUCACUACGGAAUAGUCCCGGGAAACUGGGUUUAAUACCGUAUACGCCCUUCGGGGGAAAGAAUUUCGGUGAAGGAUCGGCCCGCGUUAGAUUAGAUAGUUGGUGGGGUAACGGCCUACCAAGUCUACGAUCUAUAGCUGGUUUUAGAGGAUGAUCAGCAACACUGGGACUGAGACACGGCCCAGACUCCUACGGGAGGCAGCAGUGGGGAAUCUUAGACAAUGGGCGCAAGCCUGAUCUAGCCAUGCCGCGUGAGUGAUGAAGGCCUUAGGGUCGUAAAGCUCUUUCGCCAGGGAUGAUAAUGACAGUACCUGGUAAAGAAACCCCGGCUAACUCCGUGCCAGCAGCCGCGGUAAUACGGAGGGGGUUAGCGUUGUUCGGAAUUACUGGGCGUAAAGCGCGCGUAGGCGGAUUGGAAAGUUGGGGGUGAAAUCCCAGGGCUCAACCCUGGAACUGCCUCCAAAACUAUCAGUCUAGAGUUCGAGAGAGGUGAGUGGAACUCCGAGUGUAGAGGUGAAAUUCGUAGAUAUUCGGAAGAACACCAGUGGCGAAGGCGGCUCACUGGCUCGAUACUGACGCUGAGGUGCGAAAGUGUGGGGAGCAAACAGGAUUAGAUACCCUGGUAGUC